rnacentral:rRNA from 1 species
GAUGAACGCUGACAGAAUGCUUAACACAUGCAAGUCAACUUGAAUUUGGGUUUUUAACUUAGGUUUGGGUGGCGGACGGGUGAGUAACGCGUAAAGAACUUGCCUCGCAGCUAGGGACAACAUUUGGAAACGAAUGCUAAUACCUAAUAUUAUGAUAAUAGGGCAUCCUAUAAUUAUGAAAGCUAUAAGCGCUGUGAGAGAGCUUUGCGUCCCAUUAGCUAGUUGGAGAGGUAACGGCUCACCAAGGCGAUGAUGGGUAGCCGGCCUGAGAGGGUGAUCGGCCACAAGGGGACUGAGACACGGCCAUUACUCCUACGGGAGGCAGGAGUGGGGAAUAUUGGACAAUGGACCGAGAGUCUGAUCCAGCAAUUCUGUGUGCACGAUGAAGUUUUUCGGAAUGUAAAGUGCUUUCAGUUGGGAAGAAACAAAUGACGGUACCAACAGAAGAAGUGACGGCUAAAUACGUG